GAAAUGCGAUAAGUAAUGUGAAUUGCAGAAUUCAGUGAAUCAUCGAAUCUUUGAACGCACAUUGCGCCCGCCAGUAUUCUGGCGGGCAUGCCUGUUCGAGCGUCAUUUCAACCAUCAACCCCCCGGCUUGUGUUGGGGACCUGCGGCUGCCCGCAGGCCCUGAAAAACAGUGGCGGGCUCGCUGUCACACCGAGCGUAGUAGCAUACAUUCUCGCUCAGGGCGUGCUGCGGGUUCCGGCCGUUAAACGACCUUCAUAACCCAAGGUUGACCUCGGAUCAGGUAGGAAGACCCGCUGAACUUAAGC
rnacentral:misc_RNA from 1 species